GAGGGUAUAGCUCAGUGGUAGAGCACAUGCUUAGCGUGCACAAGGUCCUCGGUUCAACCUCCAGUACCUCCA
rnacentral:tRNA from 1 species